AGGGGAACUGCUGGGUCAUAUGGCAAUUCUAUUUUUAAUCUUUUGAGGAACCACCAUACUGUUUUCCACAAAGACUGUACCAUUUUACUUUCUCACCAACAGU
rnacentral:pre_miRNA from 1 species